rnacentral:rRNA from 1 species
UGGGGAAUCUUGGACAAUGGGGGCAACCCUGAUCCAGCGACGCCGCGUGGGUGGUAAGGCCUUCGGGUUGUAAAGCCCUUUCACCGGGGAAGGUGAUGACAUUACCCGGAGAAGAAGCUCCGGCUAACUCCGUGCCAGCAGCCGCGGUAAUACGGAGGGGGCUAGCGUUGUUCGGAAUUACUGGGCGUAAAGCGCGCGUAGGCGGCUUUUCAAGUCAGGGGUGAAAUCCCGGGGCUCAACCCCGGAACUGCCCUUGAAACUGGAUGGCUAGAAUACUGGAGAGGUGAGUGGAAUUCCGAGUGUAGAGGUGAAAUUCGUAGAUAUUCGGAAGAACACCAGUGGCGAAGGCGACUCACUGGACAGUUAUUGACGCUGAGGUGCGAAAGCGUGGGGAGCAAACAGGAUUAGAUACCCGUGUAGUCC